rnacentral:misc_RNA from 1 species
GAAUUGCGAUAAGUAAUGUGAAUUGCAGAAUUCAGUGAAUCAUCGAAUCUUUGAACGCACAUUGCGCCCGCCAGCACUCUGGCGGGCAUGCCUGUUCGAGCGUCAUUUCAACCCUCAGAACCCCUUGCGGGAUCUGGCGUUGGGGAUUGGCAUCCAGCCAGCCCCGAAAUCUAGUGGCGGUCCCUCCGCGACCUCCCCUGUGCAGUAGCGAUACCUCGCAGCGGGACAGCGGUCUGACCACGCCGUAAAACCCCCAACUUCUCAAGGUUGACCUCGAAUCAGGUAUGAAUACCCGCUGAACUUAAGC